rnacentral:rRNA from 1 species
AGAGUUUGAUCCUGGCUCAGAACGAACGCUGGCGGCGUGUCUAAUACAUGCAAGUCGUACGAGAAAGCCCGGCUUCGGUUGGGCAAGUAAAGUGGCAAACGGGUGAGUAACACGUGGGUAAUCUGCCUUUCAGUCUGGGAUAAGCCUGGGAAACUGGGUCUAAUACCGGAUGAUAUCAUCGACCGGCAUCGGUUGGUGAUCAAAGACGGGGCAACCUGUCCCUGAGAGAUGAGCCCGCGCUCCAUUAGCUUGUUGGCAGGGUAACGGCCUACCAAGGCGACGAUGGAUAGCCGGCCUGAGAGGGUGAACGGCCACACUGGGACUGAGAUACGGCCCAGACUCCUACGGGAGGCAGCAGUAGGGAAUAUUGGGCAAUGGGCGCAAGCCUGACCCAGCGACGCCGCGUGGGUGAUGAAGGUCUUUGGAUUGUAAAACCCUGUCAGUGGGGAAGAACCGCAUCAGGAGUUACUGCCUGGUGCCUGACGGUACCCACAGAGGAAGCUCCGGCUAACUCCGUGCCAGCAGCCGCGGUAAUACGGGGGGAGCGAGCGUUGUUCGGAUUUACUGGGCGUAAAGGGCGCGUAGGCGGGUCAUCAAGUCAGAUGUGAAACCCGGCGGCUCAACCGCCGGCCUGCAUCUGAAACUGGCGACCUUGAGUACGGGAGAGGAAAGUGGAAUUCCUGGUGUAGCGGUGAAAUGCGUAGAUAUCAGGAGGAACACCGGUGGCGAAGGCGGCUUUCUGGCCCGAUACUGACGCUGAGGCGCGAAGGCCGGGGGAGCAAACAGGAUUAGAUACCCUGGUAGUCCCGGCGGUAAACGAUGGGCACUAGGUGUUGGAGGUAUCGACCCCUUCAGUGCCGCAGCUAACGCAUUAAGUGCCCCGCCUGGGGAGUACGGCCGCAAGGCUGAAACUCAAAGGAAUUGACGGGGGCCCGCACAAGCGGUGGAGUAUGUGGUUCAAUUCGAUGCAACGCGCAGAACCUUACCUGGGCUUGACAUGUACCGGACCGAGGCUGAAAGGUCUCUUCUCCUUCGGGAGUCGGUGCACAGGUGCUGCAUGGCUGUCGUCAGCUCGUGCCGUGAGGUGUUGGGUUAAGUCCCGCAACGAGCGCAACCCCUGUUCUUAGUUGCCAUCAGUUCGGCUGGGCACUCUAGGAAGACUGCCGGUGAUAAGCUGGAGGAAGGUGGGGACGACGUCAAGUCCUCAUGGCCCUUACGCCCAGGGCUACACACGUACUACAAUGGCCGGCACAGAGGGCCGCAAGACCGCGAGGUGGAGCAAAUCCUUAAAGCCGGUCUCAGUUCGGAUUGGAGUCUGCAACUCGACUCCAUGAAGGUGGAAUCGCUAGUAAUCGCGGAUCAGCAGGUCGCGGUGAAUACGUUCCCGGGCCUUGUACACACCGCCCGUCAAGCCACGGAAGCUGGGGGUACCC